rnacentral:lncRNA from 1 species
AUGUACCAGUACAAAGUCGAAAUGAAAGAUGAGGAUGUGCACGUUUAUCAAGACCAAACCAAGAGCGAUGGGGAGCAGCAGGACCAGAGUUUAACCGAGCACAACCGGUCCACUAGCGGAAUAAAGGACGAGCAACAGGAACUGAGUUUAACCGAGCAAAACUGGUCCACUAGCACAAUAAAGGAAGAGCAACGGGACUUGAGUUUAAACGAGCAGCAUUGGUUCACUUGCGGAAUAAAGGAGGAACAAAAGGACCCGAGUUUAACCGAGCAGCAGAAGUCCACUAGCACAAUAAAGGAGGAGCAGCACUGGUCCACUGGCGGAAUAAAGGAGGAGAAGCAGAACCCCACAGAUCAACAGGUCUCCACACCACCAGGUGACACACACAGGCUCCCAGGAACAGCCACUGCCAGCCUAGCUACUGCUGUUACAUCAGUGAGAUCAUAUGAUUAUACUUCCCUCUUCAGAGAGUACAUUGAGAGUUUGCUGGCGAUUAGCACAACACGUGCUGAAGUGGCUAAAGUCCUGGGGAUCUCCCGGCCCACAAUGUACAAGCUCUUGCGGGAAUACAACAUAAUGCACAAAAAAUUUUGCAACAUUUCUGAUGAAGAAUUGGAUGCAACCAUCAAUGAAAUCAAAUCGAAAUAUCCUAAGAUAGGAGAAAUUAUGAUGAUUGGACAUUUGCGUUCUAAAAAAAUUGUGGUGCAGAGAAGUCGUGUUAGACAAUCUUUACAAAGGAUUUAUGCAGCUGGUGUUGAGUCCAGGAGAACCACAACAAUUUAG